GUGAGGAUAUUUAUAUUAUUUGACAUAUUAUUUGAUAGCAUGUCAACUUUUGUGUGUGUGUGUGUGUGUGUGGGUGGGUGGGUGUUGGAUCAGUGACAGGUGGCGCUGGGGAGUUACCACGGCGAGCGGCUGGCUGGCUGCAGUGUUUUGGUCAGCACUGGUCAAUCUUGCCCUACACGCUCUAGUAACCAGUGUUUCCGUCUUCCCGACACCUUCUUCCUGCACCAAGCACCGUCAAGCAUCACCAGAGAGGCACGAGUACGUAAGCUAUCCAACAUCAGAACAGUAUAUGAAUAUGGCAAAUGCUGUUUUGACAUCAUUUCCUGCCAUCCUGAGAAAAGGUGAUCACGAGGAGCAUGAAUUGCAGCUGUAAUGGAAAUUGCGCAUCCAGUGCAAGUUUCAGAAUUCAAGAAAGAGGCAGGAUUCCUCAGUGACUGAGGUGACGUCAAGGAAAAAGAAGAUCCCUUGCAUAGUGCCAAAACAGACUACGUGUCCACUGAUGUAUGGAGUAAAGGCUUACCUUCCACCAAGGCCCCAUUCAGAAGAUGAUGAGUCAUUAGAGAGACAUAGACAGUGGCUUGCUCUACAUUGGAUGAAGAAAGAUCCCGAGUUAGAUAAGAUAAUCAAGAAGUUUCUGAGAUUAGAACCACAAGCGGAUGAACCAAACCCAAGAGUAGCAGUUUUGAAAGGGCUGGAGAAAUAUAGGCUCCCAAUAAUUGCAAUUCUCAAAGAAAAGAAAAAGCAGUUCCUCUGUAUAUGGAAACCUUACUUGAACUAUAUGACCACGAUGAAAGUCAAUGUGAGUAAUGUCUAGUUCAAUUUGUUCAUUUCAGUAGCUGGUAGCAAUUUAAUAUAUGUAUCUUUUCAUCAUUAGCAAUGCAUCUUUCACUUUUAUAAGCCUAGUAUUCAUGAAACUAUGCUGCAUGCAAAAACCAAACAUUGUAUUAAGCAUGACCUAUCUAACUGUAAUGCUUGCACCAAUUUCUAUAAAGGUACUAAUUUAAUUGUUAAAUUCCUGCUCUUCUAUCAAAUUUUUGGCUGAGUGCUAUGGCUAAAUAAUUGUUUGCAGCAUAAGUGAUGUUAAAGAUUUUAAUAGGUGUAAAGCAUCUCUCUCUCUCUCUCUCUCUCUCUCUCUCUCUCUCUCUCUCUCUCUCUUGUAAGGAAAGACAUUAUUUCUAGUGUAAAUAAACCCAAUAGGCUGUCCAAUUUGAAAUUUAAAAUGUAAAUAUCAUCAAUCUUUUUAGAAAUGUUAGCUGCAUCCUCUUCCCUUGCAGUCCAAUAAGACAGGUCACUAAUUUGUGUGGAGAUAGAAUUCUUGGAGUCACCUUUGCCGGCACUAGCGCAAGUGCAAACAGUCUGAUAAAGGUUUCUUCCAUGGUUGUGAUGAAGUUCAGGAGUUCUCACUCUGUUUUGGUGGAUAUGAUGAGAAGAAUCGGGAGUUCGGAACAUCAGUGCGUUAUGUCGGGGCAUGUAGGUUCAGCUGGGGUUUUCUUUCUUUCUUUCUUUCUUUUUUUUUUCGAUCAGUACUCAUCAUAUUCUUACGAGGACUUGCUAGACAAAGCAUUAUUGCAUUAUGAUAUUACCCAAAUAAUGUCUCAAGUAAAAAACAUAACCGCAUACUCGUACAAAAGAUUUGCUGCUGUGACACAAAGGACAAAAAUCAUUAGUAUACUGGUCGUUCUGAGCAUUCAAUCAAAAUGCUUGUCAUUCAUAAAUUUAGUAGAACCAUCGAGGAGCUUUAUUUUUAUUAAUUCUUAUGUGAUAAAGCAAUAAUUACAGGAGACUUUUAAAAGAUUGGUACUCAAAUUAGUGGACUGUCCUAUUGGAUGUGACCAUAUCUUCACUUUUUUCCUUACACAGUUAAUUUUCUUUUGUUUAUUUGAUUUACUUAUUAUCAUAUUUAUUUAUAUAUUUAUUUAUUUGCACCAGAUGCUUGCUUAGUUAUAUUGGGGUUACUUCACCUGCUUGGAGAAAGGAAAGACUCCAUUUUUACUAAGGUUAAAUUUCAGUACCUUUGAUUUUAGAGUGGUGUGUAUAUAUUGAAAUUUCUGAAUAUAUUAUCACCUUAAGAUAUGCAUCUACAUAUAAAUCUUAUUUUAAUGUCAAAAUGUUAUUAAUUCUUCCUUAAGGUAACAGAAGAAGAAUUAAGAACAGGGCAGUCUAGUGUGUAUUUGAUGGUGCACCUGUAGCUGAACCAACAUGUAUUUCUAUGGCUGUAGUCUCAUUGGUAGCAGGGCUUUGUGUUUAAUAUUGAAUACCCAAAAAAUUCUGAACAUUUCUUCCGUUUCACAACAUCCCAUCCCUUAGGUAUCAAGUAUGACAAAGGUAACACUUCAAAAACAAGAUCUCUACUUGUAAAACUCAAUGAA